rnacentral:rRNA from 1 species
UGCCAGCAGCCGCGGUAAUACGGAGGGUGCAAGCAUUAAUCGGAUUCAUUGGGCGUAAAGAGCGCGUAGGUGGGAAAGGAAGUCAGACGUGAAAGCCCGGAGCUCAACUCCGGAAUAGCAUCUGAAACUCCUUUUCUUGAGGAUAGGCGGAGAAAACGGAAUUCCACGUGUAGCGGUGAAAUGCGUAGAUAUGUGGAAGAACACCCGUGGCGAAGGCGGUUUUCUAGCUUACUCCUGACGCUGAGGCGCGAAAGCUGGGGGAGCGAACAGGAUUAGAUA